rnacentral:pre_miRNA from 1 species
AGGGGGAGGCCGGAUCCUGGGCUGUGUCCCAGCGCCCUGUGCUCCGGUGCCUGCGCUGUUGGAUUCGUGCUCCCGUGAAGCCCCCU